CGACGGGCUCUGGCGGUGCAUGCGCCUUGGGUUUAGCUCUGCUGCCGAGGGAGGGGCUAGCUAAGUGCCGGUUCUGUGGCGGGUGGAGUCUGUUAUUUGUGGCCUCUUCAGUUUAUGGCUCUCCUGGCCGAACAGUCCGGUUGCGGCGAUGAAUGGUAAACUUUGCAUCAUGGAUAGUCAUGCAUUUUCCCACGAGUGAAUCUAUGAAAAAUCUGUGAGAAUUUGAGGUUCAAUGGCAUGAUGGUGACUCCACCCACUUCCAACAACUUACUAUGGAAAACUUGAAGUAGGAUUGGUGAGAUGGCCAGCAGAUUAUGUUGGCUUGCUGUCUUAAGACCUUCAGGCUGUCAUAUCAAAGACAGAAGCACAUUUUCAUACAGAGAUUCAAGAAUAACUUCAGUUACUAAACACGCUGGCUUGGACUACUCUGCAAGACAGCACUGCUUAACAUUAGAUACUCAGCUUUAUCCAUGCCCUCAAAGUUACAAGGCACAGAUUAUGAACUCCCUGACCCUGUUUUGCACUUGAUCCAAACUCUGGUGUCAGUACAGAGGACUGGCAAGCAGAACUACAGGUGUUGGAUAGAGGAGAACAUGGACCCAAUGGCACCAGCA